AAAUGAUGGUGUUGGUGUAAAAAGUUUUAUUCCUUAGUCCACCCGGUUCCGUUUUCAAAGGAUUGAAAAUACAGCAUUUGUCUGAGUGCACUCCAACUUUGAAAUGCUUGUGGCUGUCUAAGAGUCAUGUAUUAACAUGCAAAGAUAACACACCAUGCUUCUGCAGAAGGCUCCAUGUGUUCAAGAUUUUUGACAUAAUGGGACUUGACAUGCUGUCAUUCAAGUGGAAUGUUCUACCGCAA